rnacentral:rRNA from 1 species
UACGGAGGGUGCAAGCGUUGUCCGGAUUUAUUGGGUUUAAAGGGCGCGUAGGCGGCUAAUUAAGUCAGUGGUGAAAUCCGGCAGCUCAACUGUCGAACCGCCAAUGAUACUGAUUAGCUUGAGUACAAACGAGGUAUAUGGAAUUUAUGGUGUAGCGGUGAAAUGCGCAGAUAUCAGGAGGAACACCGGUGGCGAAGGCGGAUCUCUGGGCCAUUACUGACACUGAGAAGCGAAAGCUAGGGGAGCAAACAGG